rnacentral:rRNA from 1 species
CGCCUUGCCAGCCCGCUCAGAACUUAAAGGAAUUGACGGGGCCCGCACAAGCGGUGGAGCAUGUGGUUAAUUCGAAGCAACGCGAAGAACCUUACCAGGCCUUGACAUGCAGAGAACUUUCCAGAGAUGGAUUGGUGCCUUCGGGAACUCUGACACAGGUGCUGCAUGGCUGUCGUCAGCUCGUGCCGUGAGAUGUUGGGUUAAGUCCCGUAACGAGCGCAACCCUUGUCCUUAGUUACCAGCACGUUAUGGUGGGCACUCUAAGGAGACUGCCGGUGACAAACCGGAGGAAGGUGGGGAUGACGUCAAGUCAUCAUGGCCCUUACGGCCUGGGCUACACACGUGCUACAAUGGUCGGUACAAAGGGUUGCCAAGCCGCGAGGUGGAGCUAAUCCCAUAAAACCGAUCGUAGUCCGGAUCGCAGUCUGCAACUCGACUGCGUGAAGUCGGAAUCGCUAGUAAUCGUGAAUCAGAAUGUCACGGUGAAUACGUUCCCGGGCCUU